AGAGGCAGGCAGAGAUGGUCGAGGUGGCAACGCCGAAAAAUAUCGAUAGGGGUAAAGUUACAGGAGUUGGCAGCCCAGCAACAGGGGGGAUCAUGUACGAUCGGACGGGUAUGAGGUAGGUCCGAAUGGCGGCGUGAAGCUUGCGUUCUUUUCCACGUGAACCGGCGACACCGAAGGUAUUCGGGGCCGAUAUUGAGGAAAACAAAAAAGACAGCAACGGUGCGAAGCGGACUCGAAGGAGCACGGACCCGAGAAUACAGACUCCGAAUCUGGAGCACGGCGAUCCGCAGCGGAGAGCGUCGAUUGGGUACAAAGCGAGACAGCUUUAGUGGCAGAGCUCGGGAAUAACCCGCUUAGGAACUCGGCGAAUAUCAAGGCUGAGUGGGCGUAUUGGUGUGCUCCACGGGCAGUGAAACUUGGAGUAGCUGUCUCCGUGGGCCCCAGC